GAGUAUUUGUAGAGAGAGAGAGAGAGAGAGAGAGAGACAAAGCAAUGGAAGCUGCGAGGAGAAAGAAAGCAAUUGAGCACGAAAUCGGAGGUCUACAAAAUGACACUCUUCGUUUUGGACUUCACAGCGUCAAGAGCGAGAUCGUUGGAUCUCAUCCCCUUCAAUCUGCCUAUCAAUCUACAAAGGAGGUGCAGGAACAGAUGAAGAGGAGAAUCCUUGUGAACACGUACGGAUCGGCUUUUCCUUUGAAGAUGGACUUGGAUCGACAAAUGCUUUCUAGAUUGCCAACUGUUGAAGAGUCUGGUUAUCCAUGAUGCUACCCUUGGUAAUGGUAUUCAAGAGAUACCUAUAUACCAUGAUAGACUGAGACAACUUCAAAUUGUGAAAUGCCGAGUGCUUCGUAUUUCUGUCAGGUGCCCCCAACUCGAAACCUUGUCUUUAAAGGGCAAUAGUAUGGCUCAUGCUGUGCUCAACUGCCCUCUUUUGCGUGAUCUUGAUAUAGCGUCUUGCCACAAGUUUUCAGAUGCUGCAAUUCGUUCGGCAGCAACAUCAUGCCCACUUUUGGAGUCUUUAGAUAUGUCCAAUUGUUCAUGUGUGAGUGACGAAACACUACGCGAAAUUGCCUGCCCUUGUGGUAAUCUCCAUGUUCUUAAUGCUUCAUACUGCCCAAACAUCUCUCUUGGGGUCAGUGUUUUAGCUUUUCACCAUGCUUGUUCUGGUGAUGUUUGAAGAUGCUUCCAUUAGUUGACUUGAUUUUUUGCUUUUCUUGGAAAUCUGUAAGACUGCCCAUGUUGACAGUUCUCAAGCUUCACAGUUGCGAGGGCAUUACUUCUGCUUCCAUGGCAGCAAUAUCUCAUAGUUAUAUGUUGGAGGUUUGAAGCCUCUUAUCUUAGAAGUUGGCAUUGCCUAGACUUGAUUCAAUGUACGAAUAGUCUGAAACUAAUGAAAUCAAUUUUAUUGCGAUGUAAGUCUUGGAGCUUGACAAUUGUAGUUUAUUGGUGUCGGUGUCCUUGGAUCUCCUACGCCUGCAGAAUAUAAGAUUUGUCCAUUGUCGCAAGUAAAUUAUGCUACUCCGACCUCAAAGUCUUGUAGGGGAACUAUUUUGGUGGUACUUGUUAGUUAGUGUGACUAAUGUUAUAAUAUUGCCUGCAGAUUCGUUGUUUUAAAUUUAUGAAGUAUCAUGUUGUCAUCUGUUACAGUGUCAAAUUGCCCUUCACUCCAACGAAUUAACAUCACAUCUUAUUUGGUGAAAAAUGCACACGUAAUUCUAACACCAUCUUCUCUCAGGAUAUCACUUAUUUGGUGAGCUUUGCAGGUAACCCAAUUUGUAAGUGGACUGUUUGAGUCAAGAAAUGAUCUUUUCACAUUUAAGAAUCACAUACGAGACUUCCUUGUGUAGUCAAAAGAGUUCUUAGCACAGAUGUUUUUUGAGUAGGAGUUUGCUUCUUGUGGAGUGCAGGCGUGUGAAUAAUGUGAUUAACGUUUGUUUUUGUUACUCACGGAAGAAUCAUGAGAAAAACUUUUGUUGUUGAUUUACGUUAUUUUGAAUUGUGAACAAUAUUAUAUAUUUAAACAUUAUAUUUGUAUUA